GAUGAACGCUGGCGGCGUGCCUAAUACAUGCAGGUCGAACGGACGGACGAUAAUCUUGCUUCGCUGUUGUUAGCCGCGCACGGGUGAGUAACAUGUGGAUAACCUACCUAUAAUACUGGUAAAACUUCGGGAAACCGGAUCUAAUACCGUAUAAGAUUUUGAACCGUAUGGGUCAUAAGUAAAAGACGGCCUUUCUGUCACGUAUAGAUGGAUCCGCGCUGCAUUAGCUAGUUGGUAAGGUAACGGCCUACCAAGGCAACGAUGCAUGGCCGACGUGACAGGGUGAUAGGCGACCCUGGAACUGAGACACCGUCCAGAGUACUACGGGAGGCCGCAGUCGGGAACCUUACGCAAUGGGGGAGAGCAUGACGGAGUAAGGCCGGGUGAGUGAUGACGACCUUCCGAUCGUAAAGCUCUGUUAUUAGGGAAGAACAUCUGUGUACGUAACUGUGCACAUAUUGACGGUAACUAAUAAGAAAGCCCCGGCUAACUACGUG
rnacentral:rRNA from 1 species